GGUUAAUUACCAGGACCAAGGUUACCCAGCUGGGUGGCAGCAAGGCUAAGAUGUGAUCCCAGGUCUGCAGGCACUCGUUGCCUUUCAUAAAUUGUUUUGGCCAAAGGGCCUCACCUCUUCCAAACCCGUAUCAAGGUUCACCACUUGCAGGAAGGCCUCCUGGCUGUCUCCAGGGUGGAUCUCUCCAACCACCCCAGCUGCAGAAUGUCUGCUCCAGACCAUGACCUCCUCCCAAGCUCCCGGACAACUUCUAGAAAGGAGGGCUUGCUUUCUGCCUCUGCUCUCUUAACCUCAAACUUGCCGCCUCCUCCUGCCUUGCACGUGUGAAUGGACCCUCCCUUCAGGGUGCUGAGAGGUGCAUCCCACUGGGUAUGGGGCAGGACCAGGAGGGACCUUACCAGCAGCAAGGGCGGGACCCAUAUACCCUGGGAACAGCGCAAGCUACCCCUGAAGGCAAACAGAAGACUCAGAGACAGAGCAGAGGAGCCUAAGCCAUAAGGCAGAGGGAAACAUUUCCCUCCUGUCUUAGACACUGCCUGCCCUGGAUCCAGUAAGUGGCAUGACCAUGCUGAGUGGUGCCUGGGCCCCUAAUAACUGCUCCUUCAGUUCUGCACAGAGAAGGCCAUUCCUGGAAAGGGCUCCAUUAAAUCCUUAGCCAAGAGCUGCAUCUCAUCUGUUUCCAUCUUAGCCAAGAAGAGGUGGCGCACGUCCAGUCCGCUCCUAAGGUGCCGAUCUUGUAGGGCACAUGGUAGAGUCUUCAGUAAACAGCAAUUUCUUGUUCUCGUGUAGUUAUUGUGGCUGAGAUAAGAC
rnacentral:lncRNA from 13 species